CCCAGUGAGUUGUCCGCUUUAACGGCCGCAAUUUAAAGUUGUGCUAAGGUAGCGUAAUAAUUUGCCCUUUAAUUGGGGGCAUGAAUGAAUGGUUUAACGUGAAAGAAACUGUCUUUGAGGUGAAGAAAGAAGUUUUUCUUUUAGUGAAAAAACUAACUAGAAAAAAAAAGACGAGAAGACCCUAUUGAGCUUGGAUAGCGUUUUUAAUCUAAGUGCGCGAAUAUUUAGUUGGGGCAACUUAGAGGGAAAACAAAACCUCUUGAGUUUAUGAGGAUCCAAAAGUUUUGACAAAAGAAAAAGUUACCGUAGGGAUAACAGCGUUAUCCUUUCUUAGAGUGCAAAUUGAAGAGAAG
rnacentral:rRNA from 1 species